rnacentral:lncRNA from 1 species
AUCCAUCAACUUCGUUUUCCAUUCCGCUGCGUCAUUCUGGAUCAAGGAGCCACUCCUUCUUGAAGAUUGAAGGACGUUCCUAUCAUUUGGUAGUUAGAGCCAGCACGUCCACGCAGUUCUCCAUGAGAUAAGUCACAUUUCCUUCAAUAUUCACAUCCUGUCAUGUACUGUUCCUUUCUGUCUUUGCUUAGAAUUUUUUUUUCGGCACUGUUUCGUUUUGAUUUCGUGUUUUUCUGUGGAUAUUUGUUCGUUCACUGAUCCUUAGUAUUUGUAUCACACUUUAAUCGGUGCAUAUCACUUGUUUGAGUCCAAUUCACCAUCCAAUUUUAGAUUUCGUUUCUGUCACGGUAUUGUGCAAUUAUCUUUGCAGUUUUCACUCUGUCAUUCGGUUUUGAUUCUGUUCCAGCUUUGAUUUUUCGUUUUAUUAUGUGUCAAUACAUUGCUUGACUUAAUUUGAUCAUACAAAGCAAAGACGCAAUGCAUAGCUUUAAUCAAAUCACUUUUGAAGCUUUGACCGAGACAUUUGCAUUAACAAUUUCUUCUGGAUUCAACUGGUGCAAUCUGUUUUGUUCCGAUUAUGUUGUUUCUGCAGUUGGAUCAUGUCUAUUUUAUGUUUCUAAACAUGUUCUCGCUGAUAGCAACUACAAUUCACCAUUGCAUUGUGAAAAGCAUAUGUGAGUUGCAGGGAAUUCUGUUUUCUCGAGCCUACACUGUUACAGUUUGAAUUUCUGGCUUUGCACCGUGCUGGUUUUUCGUUGCAUUGUCUUAGGAAAUUUUAAAUCUGCUAGCUUAUAGUAUUCUCAAGCUAGAUCUAGAUCAUUAGGUUCUAUUUAAUUGCUUUUGAUCCAGCUACACAUUGCUUCCCAGCAAAUGUUUUUUCAAAUCUACUGCACAUGUCAUGUAUUUUUGCUGCAUAAUUGGCAACUCUCAUAGUGAAUUCGCGUUUUAGUGAAUUUCUGUGCAUGGUAACUGUUGGUGCAAGAGUAUUUCAUCAUUUGAAACUUGUUGCAAUUGCUAUCUUGAUCCAUUCUCAUCAAAUCUGUAAAAUCACAGUUUGACUUCCCAUUUUUGGUUAAAACUUGGAACUCAACUAGUCAAAUUGUGAUUCAGUGGAUUUUGGCACAGUUUGAUUGUUUCCACAUCUAUAUUUGGUGCAUCAAAGUUUCCUAAUACUGUUCAAAUGGUCAAAAUCUGCACCUAGCCGAGAUCCAUACAUCAAACCACUUCAUUUUAGUGCUUUUUAGGAGCUAGACCAGUGAAAAAUAACUCUGCAUAUGUCUUGGCUGUUUCAAUGCUUUGAACACAUUCCAUAUGAUCAUAUAAACCUGUUUGAAGUGUCCUUUAAGCUGUGAAUACACUGCACUCAAUUUUAGCUACUGCAGUUCCAUUUCAGCCAUGUUUUGGUACAAUUGGCUAUAGCAGAGGUGUUUUGUCAAAUUCGUCUAUUUGAGUGCAUUGUGAACAUUUGUUCAGUUGUAUUUUAUCAUUUAAAACAUGUAUGCACUGUUCAUUUGGUCCAUUUUAAGUCAACGUGCAUAAUCACUUCCUAAACCAUCAAAGUUGUUUUAAUUUGGAAGUGAACUAGUCAAUUUCUGCUGCAGUGUAUUCCUUUGCUGUUUGAGUGUUUGUACACCUUCAAGUUGAUGAUAUAAACUUGCUUGCACCAUCAAUUCACCUUUCCAAACACUGUCACUCAUUUUUGGGUCUGAAAGCACACUUUUAAAGCCAUUUUUCUGGUGCAGUUUUCACUUUUAGUGCUGUUUGGUUUUGUGCAAUCUUUAAUUUUCAAUUCUGGAUUGGCAAGAGCUGGUUACAUGUUUCCAUAUGGAAUUAUAUGAUCCAAGAAGUAUAAUCCAAUCAUAAAAAGCAAAAGAAAACCAUGCAAUCCAGUUUUGAACCCCAAAACCCGAAAAUCACUAAAUUUGAAGCUCAUUGGGGACUUUCAUCAAACAGUUUGCAAAAUUAUCAAACAGUUUACUGCACUACUUUUGGCUCUUCGAUUUUUCUUUUUCUUGCGUGUUUAAUCUGAUCUAGUGCCUCUCUUAGGUUCCUUUUGUGUCCCUCCAUUGCUUAAAGCUUAAAACUACUUGAAAUCACCUUGUUUGACCUCCAAUUUGUGCCACCAAACCUGGUAUGCGAAUUUAAAUUUUGGUGCAGUGCAGAUUUUUUUUUUCUGUGACUGGUUUGGUGUGUGGCAGGAUGCUGUGACAUUUUGGUGGAGUUCUAGCAACCAGUUUGCUUCUCCAAAAGGGGUAGCAUACUAAGGAGUGGAAGCAUUGUUAAAGCAAGCACAAGUUGGGACUUUGAGAGCAUCUNCCUUGGCUGUNUUAAACUGUUCCANCANUAUUUUUUUCAGCAGCAACAUAUCAAAGUUUGGCAUUCCAGCACCCUGAAACAGCAACCACACUUGGCUUUCUCAUUUGCACACACUUUUCAUUGUAUUUAUGACUUGAUAUCACGGAACAUUUGAGUGCAAUUUUCUUUCAAUUUUACAACUUGAGUGGCUUGGGAAAAUGCUUUGUUAGCAAUUCCAAGAUCACCACUAAACAUUGUAAUAGCUUAGUUUCCACAUCUUAGUGUGAAAGUGUGUCAAGGGGCUCAAAGUGUCACUUGCACUUUCACUUAGGGCCGAGUCUCAUUUUCAUUCUUUCUUUAAACUUUUGCUUGUUGAUUUUUAUGUUUUAAGUCUCCGUGAUACUUAGGAGCGCGUUUCAUAUAGUUAAAACCUUCCUUUGGUUUUUAGGAGCAUNNN